CAAGAAGAAGAAUAGAAAACAUACAUUGGGAAGAGAGUCCAACAUGAAUUCUCAGCACUGGCCUCCUGCAAGAAGGAAGAGGCAAGUUUCCUGGAAGAGGGAACAGUCAAAGUGGAUGACUCAAGGACUAUUUCGUAUCUCCAUGAAGGCACGUUGGGAUUACACAACACAGCCAUGCAGUUAGAGGACAGAGCCCACCUUCCCGUUACCUGUUGGGCCUCCUGUGCCGCCAUGAUGCCUCACCCCCGGGAGCUCAGGUACUGCUCAAGCUUUAAAGGAACGAAUUCGCCUCCCUGCACUCUGUGGCUAAACUCUUUGCAGUCCUCAGCGGAAGUAUGCUUGAAUCUGGUAAAGGGAAAGGAAGUGUGACAAGCUAAAGUUUCGCUCU